rnacentral:rRNA from 1 species
CGUGCAGGAUGACGGUCUUCGGAUUGUAAACUGCUUUUAUAUGGGAAGAUUAUGACGGUACCAUAUGAAUAAGGACCGGCUAACUACGUGC